GGGGGGGGGGGCCUAACACAUGCAAGUCGAGCGGAACGAGAAGUAGCUUGCUACUUCGGCGUCGAGCGGCGGACGGGUGAGUAAUGCAUAGGAAGUUGCCCAGUAGAGGGGGAUAACCAUUGGAAACGAUGGCUAAUACCGCAUAACCUCUUCGGAGCAAAGCGGGGGACCUUCGGGCCUCGCGCUACUGGAUACGCCUAUGUGGGAUUAGCUAGUUGGUGAGGUAAUGGCUCACCAAGGCGACGAUCCCUAGCUGGUCUGAGAGGAUGAUCAGCCACACUGGGACUGAGACACGGCCCAGACUCCUACGGGAGGCAGCAGUGGGGAAUAUUGCACAAUGGGCGAAAGCCUGAUGCAGCCAUGCCGCGUGUAUGAAGAAGGCCUUCGGGUUGUAAAGUACUUUCAGUUGUGAGGAAGGGUGUGUAGUUAAUAACUGCGCAUUUUGACGUUAGCAACAGAAGAAGCACCGGCUAACUCCGUGCCAGCAGCCGCGGUAAUACGGAGGGUGCGAGCGUUAAUCGGAAUUACUGGGCGUAAAGCGCAUGCAGGUGGUUUGUUAAGUCAGAUGUGAAAGCCCGGGGCUCAACCUCGGAAGGUCAUUUGAAACU
rnacentral:rRNA from 1 species